AGAGUUUGAUCCUGGCUCAGGACGUACGCUGGCGGCGCGCACUAAUGAAUGCGAGUCGAACGAGAAGCAGACAGUUGAUCUCUUCGGAGUGACACAGUCUGUGGAGAGUGGCGAACGGGUGAGUAACACGUGGGUAACCUGCCUCCGAAUUGGGGAUAACGUUGCGAAAGCGACGCUAAUACCGGAUAAUAUCGAGAGGACUUUGGUUUUCUUGAUCAAAGGUGGCCUCUUCAUGAAAGCUACUGUUUGGAGAUGGGCCCGCGGCUCAUUAGCUAGUUGGUGAGGUAACGGCUCACCAAGGCGACGAUGGGUAGCCGGUCUGAGAGGAUGAUCGGCCACACUGGGACUGAGACAUGGUCCAGACUCCUACGGGAGUUAGCAUCAGGGAAUCUUGCUCAAUGAGCGCAAGCUUGAAGCAGCGACGCCGCGUGUGGGAUGAAGGCUUUCGGGUCGUAAACCACUGUCAGGAGGGAAGAACCACUUUGAGGAUAAUACCCUCGAGGUCUGACGGUACCACUGAAGAAGCACCGGCUAACUCCGUGCCAGCAGCCGCGGUAAAACGUAGGGGCCAGCGUUGUCCGGAAUUACUGGGCGUAAAGAGCGCGUAGGCGGCCGUUUAAGUCAGAUGUGAAAGCCCGGGGCUCAACCCCGGAAGUGCAUUUGAUACUAUUCGGCUUGAGUAUGGGAGAGGGUAGUGGAAUUCCUGGUGUAGCGGUGGAAUGCGUAAAUAUCAGGAGGAACACCGGUGGCGAAGGCUGCUACCUGGAACGUAACUGACGCUGAGGCGCGAAAGCUAGGGGAGCAAACGGGAUUAGAUACCCCGGUAGUCCUAGCCGUAAACGAUGGACACUAGGUGUAGCGGGUAUUGACCCCUGCUGUGCCGCAGCUAACGCGUUAAGUGUCCCGCCUGGGGAGUACGGUCGCAAGGCUAAAACUCAAAGGAAUUGACGGGGGCCCGCACAAGCGGUGGAGCAUGUUGGUUAAUUCGACGCAACGCGAAGAACUUACCUGGAUUUGACAUCUCGGGAAUUCCUAUGAAAAUAGGAAGUGCCCUUCGGGGAGCCCGAUGACAGGUGGUGCAUGGUUGUCGACAGCUCGUGUCGUGAGAUGUUGGGUUAAGUCCCGCAACGAGCGCAACCCCUAUCUUUAGUUACCAUCACUUCGGGUGGGGACUCUAGAGAUACUGCCCCGGUCAACGGGGAGGAAGGUGGGGAUGACGUCAAGUCCUCAUGGCCUUUAUGUCCAGGGCUACACACGUGCUACAAUGGGCAGUACAGAGGGUCGCGACACUGCGAGGUGGAGCUAAUCCCUUAAAGCUGUUCUAAGUUCGGAUUGGAGUCUGCAACUCGACUCCAUGAAGCUGGAAUCGCUAGUAAUCGCGGAUCAGCAUGCCGCGGUGAAUACGUUCCCGGGCCUUGUACACACCGCCCGUCACACCAUGAGAGUUGGUUGUACCCGACGUCGCUGGGCUAACUCAUUAGAGAUGCAGGCGCCUAAGGUAUUGGCUGAUGAUUGGGGUGAAGUCGUAACAAGGUAGCC
rnacentral:rRNA from 1 species